GGGCUGGUAGCUCAGUGGAUAGAGCGUCUGUCUCCGGAACAGAAGGUCGUGGGUUCGAAUCCCAUUCAGCCCA
rnacentral:tRNA from 1 species